rnacentral:rRNA from 1 species
AUUGAACGCUGGCGGCAGGCCUAACACAUGCAAGUCGAACGGCAGCGGGGAGUAGCUUGCUACUCUGCCGGCGAGUGGCGGACGGGUGAGUAAUGCCUGGGGAGCUGCCCAAUCGAGGGGGAUACCAGUUGGAAACGACUGCUAAUACCGCAUACGCCCUGAGGGGGAAAGUGGGGAUCUUCGGACCUAUCGCGAUUGGAUGCACCCAGGUGGGAUUAGGCUAGUUGGUGAGGUAACGGGCUCACCAAGGCGACGAUCUCUAGCUGGUCUGAGAGGAUGACCAGCCACACUGGAACUGAGACACGGUCCAGACUCCUACGGGAGGCAGCAGUGGGGAAUAUUGCACAAUGGGGAAACCCUGAUGCAGCCAUGCCGCGUGUGUGAAGAAGGCCUUCGGGUGUAAAGCACUUUCAGUCAGGAGGAAAGGGUAGCGUAGCUAAGUAUCUAGUUGCUGUGA